GGGAAACUUGGAUUAAUACCGGAUGCCCUCGGAGGAUCGCAUGAUCCAUCGAGGAAAUGCCUUUGUGCUGUGGGAUGGGCUCGCGACUUAUCAGCUAGUUGGUGGGGUAACGGCCUACCAAGGCGUCGACGAGUAGCUGGUCUGAGAGGACGAUCAGCCACACUGGGACUGAGACACGGCCCAGACUCCUACGGGAGGCAGCAGCAGGGAAUCUUGCGCAAUGGACGAAAGUCUGACGCAGCAACGCCGCGUGGGGGAUGAAGGCCUUCGGGUUGUAAACCCCUUUCAGGAGGGAAGAAAUUGACGGUACCUCCAAAAGAAGCACCGGCCAACUACGUGCCAGCAGCCGCGGUAAUACGUAGGGUGCGAGCGUUAUCCGGAAUCAUUGGGCGUAAAGAGCUCGUAGGCGGUUCAGCAAGUCGGCUGUGAAAUUUCGAGGCUCAACCUCGAAACUGCGGUCGAAACUGCUGUGACUCGAGUCCGGUAGAGGAGAAUGGAAUUCCCGGUGUAGCGGUGAAAUGCGCAGAUAUCGGGAGGAACACCAGUAGCGAAGGCGGUUCUCUGGGCCGGCACUGACGCUGAGGAGCGAAAGCGUGGGUAGCAAACAGGAUUAGAUACCCUGGUAGUCCACGCCGUAAACGUUGGAUACUAGGUGUGGCGUCCCGAUUAACGGUCGCCGUGCCGAAGCUAACGCAUUAAGUAUCCCGCCUGGGGAGUACGGCCGCAAGGCUAAAACUCAAAGGAAUUGACGGGUCCCCGCACAAGCGGCGGAGCAUGCGGCUUAAUUCGAAGCAACGCGCAGAACCUUACCAUCCCUUGACAUCCUCAACGCGGAUCGCAGAGAUGCUUUCCUUCAGUUCGGCUGGUUGAGUGACAGGUGCUGCAUGGCUGUCGUCAGCUCGUGUCGUGAGAUGUUGGGUUAAGUCCCGCAACGAGCGCAACCCUCGCCCUUAGUUGCCAGCAUUCAGUUGGGCACUCUAGGGGAACUGCCGGUGAUAAGCCGGAGGAAGGUGGGGAUGACGUCAAGUCCUCAUGGCCCUUACGGGAUGGGCUACACACGUGCUACAAUGGCAGUGACAAUGGGUUAAUCCCCAAAAACUGUCUCAGUUCGGAUUGUCGCCUGCAACUCGGCGGCAUGAAGUUGGAAUCGCUAGUAAUCGCGUAACAGCAUGACGCGGUGAAUACGUUCCCGGGCCUUGU
rnacentral:rRNA from 1 species